GGGCGCAGGGCGAAUGCCUUGGCACUGGGAGCCGAUGAAAGACGUGAUAAGCUGCGAUAAGCUUCGGGGAGCUGCAAAUAAGCAUUGAUCCGGAGAUUUCUGAAUGAGGAAACUCACCUGGGUUCAUACUCAGGUACAAUACACUGAAAUUCAAAAUAGGUGUAUUGAGGGAACCGCCUGAACUGAAACAUCUAAGUAGGGCGAGGAAGAGACAUCAAACGAGAUUCCGUAAGUAGUGGCGAGCGAACGCGGAAGAGGGCAAACCGAGAGUAGAAAUACUUUCGGGGUACGGACUGCUUUUAAGACUCAAUCUGUUAACCGAACGGCAUGGGAAGGCCGGUCAGAGAGUGUGAGAACCACGUAGGUGAAAACGGAGAGAGCUGCGCAGGAUCCAGAGUACGGCCAGACACGUGAAACCUGGUCGGAACACGGGGGGACCACCCUCCAACCCUAAAUACUACCCAGUGACCGAUAGCGUAUAGUACUGUGAAGGAAAGGUGAAAAGCACCCCGGGAGGGGAGUGAAAAAGAACCUGAAACCCUGUGCCU
rnacentral:ncRNA from 1 species